GAUGAACGCUGGCGGCGUGCCUAAUACAUGCAAGUCGAGCGAACGGACGAGAAGCUUGCUUCUCUGAUGUUAGCGGCGGACGGGUGAGUAACACGUGGAUAACCUACCUAUAAGACUGGGAUAACUUCGGGAAACCGUAGCUAAUACCGGAUAAUAUUUUGAACCGCAUGGUUCAAAAGUGAAAGACGGUCUUGCUGUCACUUAUAGAUGGAUCCGCGCUGCAUUAGCUAGUUGGUAAGGUAACGGCUUACCAAGGCAACGAUGCAUAGCCGACCUGAGAGGGUGAUCGGCCACACUGGAACUGAGACACGGUCCAGACUCCUACGGGAGGCAGCAGUAGGGAAUCUUCCGCAAUGGGCGAAAGCCUGACGGAGCAACGCCGCGUGAGUGAUGAAGGUCUUCGGAUCGUAAAACUCUGUUAUUAGGGAAGAACAUAUGUGUAAGUAACUGUGCACAUCUUGACGGUACCUAAUCAGAAAGCCACGGCUAACUACGUGCCAGCAGCCGCGGUAAUACGUAGGUGGCAAGCGUUAUCCGGAAUUAUUGGGCGUAAAGCGCGCGUAGGCGGUUUUUUAAGUCUGAUGUGAAAGCCCACGGCUCAACCGUGGAGGGUCAUUGGAAACUGGAAAACUUGAGUGCAGAAGAGGAAAGUGGAAUUCCAUGUGUAGCGGUGAAAUGCGCAGAGAUAUGGAGGAACACCAGUGGCGAAGGCGACUUUCUGGUCUGUAACUGACGCUGAUGUGCGAAAGCGUGGGGAUCAAACAGGAUUAGAUACCCUGGUAGUCCACGCCGUAAACGAUGAGUGCUAAGUGUUAGGGGGUUUCCGCCCCUUAGUGCUGCAGCUAACGCAUUAAGCACUCCGCCUGGGGAGUACGACCGCAAGGUUGAAACUCAAAGGAAUUGACGGGGACCCGCACAAGCGGUGGGGCAUGUGGUUUAAUUCGAAGCAACGCGAAGAACCUUACCAAAUCUUGACAUCCUUUGACAACUCUAGAGAUAGAGCCUUCCCCUUCGGGGGACAAAGUGACAGGUGGUGCAUGGUUGUCGUCAGCUCGUGUCGUGAGAUGUUGGGUUAAGUCCCGCAACGAGCGCAACCCUUAAGCUUAGUUGCCAUCAUUAAGUUGGGCACUCUAAGUUGACUGCCGGUGACAAACCGGAGGAAGGUGGGGAUGACGUCAAAUCAUCAUGCCCCUUAUGAUUUGGGCUACACACGUGCUACAAUGGACAAUACAAAGGGCAGCGAACCCGCGAGGUCAAGCAAAUCCCAUAAAGUUGUUCUCAGUUCGGAUUGUAGUCUGCAACUCGACUACAUGAAGCUGGAAUCGCUAGUAAUCGUAGAUCAGCAUGCUACGGUGAAUACGUUCCCGGGUCU
rnacentral:rRNA from 1 species